GCGGGUGUAAUUCAAUGGUAGAAUGGGAGCUUCCCAAGCUCCAUACGAGGGUUCGAUUCCCUUCGCCCGCUCCA
rnacentral:tRNA from 1 species